AUUGAACGCUGGCGGCAUGCUUUACACAUGCAAGUCGAACGGUAACAGGCCGCAAGGUGCUGACGUGUGGCGAACGGGUGAGUAAUGCAUCGGAACGUGCCCAGUCGUGGGGGAUAACGCAGCGAAAGCUGCGCUAAUACCGCAUACGAUCUAUGGAUGAAAGCGGGGGACCGUAAGGCCUCGCGCGAUUCGAGUGGACGAUGUCUGAUUAGGUAGUUGGUGGGGUAAAGGCUCACCAAGCCAACGAUCUGUAGCUGGUCUGAGAGGACGACCAGCCACACUGGGACGGAGACACGGCCCAGACUCCUACGGGAGGCAGCAGUGGGGAAUUUUGGACGAUGGGCGCAAGCCUGAUCCAGCAAUGCCGCGUGCAGGAAGAAGGCCUUCGGGUUGUAAACUGCUUUUGUACGGAACGAAACGGCUCUGGUUAAUACCCGGGGCUAACGACGGUACCGUAAGAAUAAGCACCGGCUAACUACGUGCCAGCCGCCGCGGUAA
rnacentral:rRNA from 1 species